ACAUCCGGUGGCCUAGUGGUUAGAGGGUAGGCUUCGGAUGCGUCAGGUCACGGGUUCGAAUCCCGGCCGAUCCA